AUGGGGCCAACGCCCCAAACAAGUGGGUGGAUCAGAAAGAGCCGGAAUAGUGUUUGGCAAAUCGUAUUUUGUGGAGCAAUGAACCACGUGUGGCAUGGGGAAGAAGAGGAUCGUGUUUGGGUUAAACAGACGCUCCUAGUUAAGGGUAAAGUGAAGUGGGUGUGCCUGGGAUCAUGCACAGCUAGUGAGUGGAAGAGCCAAGAUUCAAAUCCAUGCAGCCUGGCUCCAGGGCCCACACUGUCAGUCACUCAUCAACACCUUUCCAAGCCAAUUUUCCCUGAAGGCCAGCAGGGAAGGCAAGGAGGCUUGCAACAAGGUGGGGGCCCCAGUCAACCUGGACCCAUCCUGGAGGGCUUGCCUGUCAGAGAUACGUGUUUAAUGACGAGAAGCACCAUGAAGCUAGGUGAGUACUAUUGUGUUAUUUACUGAGCAUCCCAGUCCGCUUGGACCAUAUUGCAUGCUCAAUGUGAGUUAAUUAACAUAUGCUAUGGGGAAGCAUGACUAAGAUAUGCAUCCCUGAAGGUCUAAUCCAGGAGAGGUGACACAAGCCACCAUGAGUCCUGACACAGCUUCUUUCCCUUGGGGUACUUAUGGGUGUCUCUGGCAUGGAGGAUACCAGCUGAUGGGGCAGCCAAGCACUGCACUGUGAGAACUGAGUUAGCCUUUAGGUAGACAGAAGCCAAAAAUGUCAGGUACCUGCUUUCCUCUGCUUGUCAGAAGCUUAUUUUCCCUGAAACCCAACAGGGAAAGAGAUGAGGGUAUCAACAGGGUGGGGGGGCCCCAGCUAACCUGGGUCCAUCCUCAAGGUCUUGCCUGUCAGAGACAUGUGUUUAAUAUCUACUCCAGGACCCACUGAAGGGCUCUUUGAAUGGGAAGAGAGGGAUGGUGGAAAGUGCUUGAGCUCCCGUAUUAAAAUCUCCCCAAGUCUGAUUCCCCAGGUUCAGUCAAUGACUCAGCAGCAAGUUGCUGCUCAGACAGGAAGCCUUCCUUAAUUCUUUAGCUGGACUUGUGCCCUCAUUUUUCUGAAUCAGCAAAGUACUUCGCAUUUCAAGAUCUUGGAGGGAGCAUGGCAGGUCAGAGAACACUUGGGACUCCGAUGAUCCUGGUCUGUGCUAUUCUCUUGUUCUGCGACUUUGGAAAUGUGUUUAUUUAUUCAAGAACGUGUUGCUUUUAUUAUUAAAGGGAAGAUCACUAUUAUUGGAUUGUUUUGAAAACUAGCAGAAACUACAUGUAAAUGACUGCUUUGUUAUUACAUUUAAGAAGGUCUUGUAAAUAUUAUUAGAGGUCAUCCAGGUUUAAAUUUAAACCCUAUCUCUACCAGUUAAUCUAUGGGUGAGACCUCAGGCAAGCUUGGAAGACUUGGGUGUCCUCUUUCUGCAAAAUGACACUUACCUGGUAAAUUGCUUGUAGGGGAAUUAGUGAAAACCCA
rnacentral:lncRNA from 13 species